UGGUUUCUUCAAAAUUGCCCAAAUCCCUAAACCAUAAAAUCCGACGGCCCCUUCACGGCUUCACCCAUCUCUCUCUUGAUCCGCCAUAGCCAAUCGGUUGCCCAUUUGAGCAGAUGUUUUGUUGUCUUCAAUUGCCGAUGGAUGUUCUUCGUUUCUAGAUUAUCUAUUCUUCGUUGCAUAAGUGACCGUUCGAUUCAAGCAUGCCUUGCGGAAGAUCGCUCAAAAUCUUCGAAAAACAAAAAUAAGCUGGAAACUGGAGCUCCGGAUUUGGGGUUUUCAAAGUGGUUUGACAGGUUAAGCAAACAAGAGAAAGAGACAGCUGAUAGAAAAAAAAAAAUAGUGAGCAAAUGGCAUCCAACAACAAAUAGUACAUUUGGGUGACAUUACAAAAUUCAUUCUAAAUCAGAAGGUAGGUGUUUGCUUAAAGCCAUCGCAUCCUAAUUGUCGGACGAUGAUCAGUUUAGAGAUGCCACUUCCCACAAGGAGUGUCAAAUUAGGAGGGAAAAUACUCAUGGAGAAACUAUUUGUUGUAACAAUGUGUGGGCCUUGUUUGAUGAGCUCCCUAUGCCUCGUUUGAUUGUGAAAAUCACGCCUUUUCCUGCGGGUCCAUUUGCAGAAAACGAUUACUCGAAAGCUGAAAUAUUGAAGUUUCUCAAAGAAAGAAACUGAAAUAGAGAGAUUAUGUGACAAAUUCGUAGGUGAAGAAAUUACUAGCUGCUAGGGAUCUUGCGGGUCAAGAGUAUGGAGAAUAAAAGAAUUUAUAGAAAAGAUUUCAUGAGUGUAUGAGGAAAGAGAAUCAUAACAGUUAGGAAGAACCACCCAGGCGAUGUGCACCAACAAGGUGGGCACAAUAGUUGCAAAAGCUUAAAGACGGCCAAUAGAGGAAACAAAAAAUAUUGCAGCAAAUGAAUGAAGAAUUGGUUUAUAACAGUUAAUCUUGGUUAGUUUUGGACAAGGGUAACAUAAUAAGCUUUCUCAAAAUUUAAUUUGUAUAAAGAUUCAUUGAAAGAUGUAUAUUGUAUGAUUUUAAGAUAUGAUAUUUUUUGGAUUUUAUGAUCAUUUAAUUAUA